rnacentral:rRNA from 1 species
AUUGAACGCUGGCGGCAGGCCUAACACAUGCAAGUCGAGCGGAUGAAGGGAGCUUGCUCCUGGAUUCAGCGGCGGACGGGUGGGUAAUGCCCAGGAAUCUGCCUGGUAGUGGGGGAUAACGUCCGGAAACGGGCGCUAAUACCGCAUACGUCCUGAGGGAGAAAGUGGGGGAUCUUCGGACCUCACGCUAUCAGAUGAGCCUAGGUCGGAUUAGCUAGUUGGUGGGGUAAAGGCCUACCAAGGCGACGAUCCGUAACUGGUCUGAGAGGAUGAUCAGUCACACUGGAACUGAGACACGGUCCAGACUCCUACGGGAGGCAGCAGUGGGGAAUAUUGGACAAUGGGCGAAAGCCUGAUCCAGCCAUGCCGCGUGUGUGAAGAAGGUCUUCGGAUUGUAAAGCACUUUAAGUUGGGAGGAAGGGCAGUAAGUUAAUACCUUGCUGUUUUGACGUUACCAACAGAAUAAGCACCGGCUAACUUCGUG